rnacentral:tRNA from 1 species
GCUUUCGGGGUGUAGUGGUCAGCGCACUCGGUGCGUAUUCGAAAGGACUGUGGUUCGAGUCCCAGCGAGGGCA